rnacentral:misc_RNA from 1 species
UACGUAGGGUGCGAGCGUUAUCCGGAUUUACUGGGCGUAAAGAGUUCCGUCGGCGUCUUGAUAAGUUUUUUGUUUAAACCCAAGGCUUAACUUUGGAAGAGCAAAGAAAACUAUCAGGAUUGAGUCUGUUCGGGGAAGCUAGAAUUCUCGGUGGAGGGGUGAAAUCCGUAGAUAUCGAGAGGAAUACCAGACGCGAAGGCGGGCUUCUAGAACAGCACUGACGCUCAGGGACGAAAGCUUGGGUAGCAAAAGGG